rnacentral:antisense_RNA from 1 species
CUUGACCGACCCCAGCCACAGCGGCUCCUCGCGGUCGCGGCCGUAGGUGGCCAGCAACGCCUGCGCCUC